rnacentral:piRNA from 1 species
CACUUCCGUCUUCCCUGGGGUUCCAGAUGU